GACGAACGCUGGCGGCGCGCUUAACACAUGCAAGUCGAACGGAAAGGCCUGCUUUCCCUUGUGGAUUGCGGGUACUCGAGUGGCGAACGGGUGAGUAACACGUGAGUGAUCUGCCCCCAACUUGGGUAUAAGCCUGGGAAACUGGGUCUAAUUCCCGAUAGGACUGCAGGGUGGUGCCUGUGGUGGAAAACGAUUUUCUAGUGGUUGGGGAUGAGCUCGCGGCCUAUCAGCUUGUUGGUGGGGUAAUGGCCUACCAAGGCGGCGACGGGUAGCCGGCCUGAGAGGGUGGACGGCCUCAUUGGGACUGAGAUACGGCCCAGACUCCUACGGGAGGCAGCAGUGGGGAAUAUUGCACAAUGGGCGGAAGCCUGAUGCAGCGACGCCGCGUGGGGGAUGACGGCCUUCGGGUUGUAAACUCCUUUCGACCGCGAGGAAGCCACCUGGUUGGAAGGGUGGUGACGGUAGUGGUAGAAGAAGCACCGGCUAACUACGUG
rnacentral:rRNA from 1 species